rfam:Flavobacterium sp. LM4 Flavobacterium_sp_LM4_contig6, whole genome shotgun sequence.
ACCUAGCCCCGAUAGAGCGGUUAUCCUUUUAUGGCGGGGUUCGCCAUAAAAGAUAAGAGCGAAAGCGGGACUUUUG